UAACUCUUUUAGGUGAGAAGAUACAGGU
rnacentral:piRNA from 1 species